rnacentral:rRNA from 1 species
UACGAAUGCGGUUAGAGUUGAUCGGAAUCACUGGGCGUAAAGCGCACGUAGGCGGAUCGUUAAGUCGGGGGUGAAAUCCCGAGGCUCAACCUCGGAACUGCCUGCGAUACUGGCGAUCUUCGAGUCCGGGAGAGGUGAGUGGAACUCCGAGUGUAGAGGUGAAAUUCGUAGAUAUUCGGAAGAACACCAGUGGCGAAGGCGGCUCACUGGCCCGGUACUGACGCGGAGGUGCGAAAGCGUGGGGAGCAAACAGG